rnacentral:rRNA from 1 species
AGGAAAAGAAACCAACAGGGAUUGCCCUAGUAACGGCGAGUGAAGCGGCAACAGCUCAAAUUUGAAAUCUGGCGCAAGCCCGAGUUGUAAUUUGUAGAGGAUGCUUCUAGGUAGCGACCGGUCUAAGUUCCUUGGAACAGGACGUCAUAGAGGGUGAGAAUCCCGUAUGUGACUGGCCCGCACCUUCUACGUAGCUCCUUCGACGAGUCGAGUUGUUUGGGAAUGCAGCUCUAAAUGGGAGGUAAAUUUCUUCUAAAGCUAAAUACCGGCCAGAGACCGAUAGCGCACAAGUAGAGUGAUCGAAAGAUGAAAAGCACUUUGGAAAGAGAGUUAAAAAGCACGUGAAAUUGUUGAAAGGGAAGCGCUCACAACCAGACUUCUAGGCAGUGUUCCGCCGGUCUUUUGACCGGUCUACUCUCUGUCUCGAGGCCAACAUCAUCUGGGACCGCUGGAUAAGACCUUAGGAAUGUAGCUCCCCUCGGGGAGUGUUAUAGCCUCUGGUGAUGCAGCGAGUCUCGGGUGAGGUCCGCGCUUCGGCAAGGAUGUUGGCGUAAUGGUUGUCAGCGGCCCGUCUUGAAACACGGACCAAGGAGUCUAACAUCUAUGCGAGUGUUCGGGUGUCAAACCCCUACGCGUAAUGAAAGUGAACGGAGGUGGGAAGCGUAAGCUGCACCAUCGACCGAUCCUGAUGUCCUCGGAUGGAUUUGAGUAAGAGCAUAGCUGUUGGGACCCGAAAGAUGGUGAACUAUGCCUGAAUAGGGUGAAGCCAGAGGAAACUCUGGUGGAGGCUCGCAGCGGUUCUGACGUGCAAAUCGAUCGUCAAAUUUGGGUAUAGGGGCG